GGCAGUAACCCAGAGUGGAGCCUUAGAUAAAGAUGCAUGAAGCCCAACGUGCAGACAUAGAUAGAGAUAAGUAAAGAGCUUAAAAACCACGGCCAGAAGUGCCCGAGUCAGAGACGGGAUGGCUGCUAGGCGAAUCCAUGCUGCCCAGGCCCCCGACUCUCCAUUCCCCACAGCCUGACUCGCUGACCCGCUGCCGCCCGAGCCUGACCCUGCUAGACCACAGCGCUGCUGGGACACGCCGCCCUGCCGGGACCCGCCGCACGCAGCUCUGCCUGGACCGGAAACCUGAGCCUGAAGAUCUGAGGAGCCAACCCGGAAGUAAACAGAAAGUGACGCCAGAGAAGUCAGAGCCCGAGCCUGCGAAGCGGGAGACAGCUGGACACAUGGAAGGGAAAAAUAAGCAAAAAUAGUGUCCAGCUCAUGGAAGAGGGAGGUCACCAAGGACAAGGAGAUCAUCAUAUGCACCAGCUUUUGUCAUGUGAACCGUGCUCCCCAACUUAACUGGUCAACAAAAGG